GCUUCCUGCCCUGACCCUAGGAUGAAAAUGCAAGGGGACCUCCUCAGGAGUUUGGCCUUGGAGUGGGGCGCUGCACCAAAGUGAGGUCCUGGAGUCCGGCUCUUAAUUGUGCCACUAUGUAUUAUCUUAUUUGAAAGUCAUACCCUUCUGCGGAGCUCAAGUUAUUACCUCCGAUUUGGAGAUGGGGAAAAGGAGGGACUUAUCUAGAACUUAGGACGCCUUGCAUUAGGGUUGAGGUAGACCUGAAGUUAAAUGCUACUGUAGUAAUUUCUGACUCUCGCAUCUUAUACUUCAACAUUAUUUUUGAAUCUAGGUUUCUGUUUGCAAGAUUAUUAGGUCAAUGUUUGUCUCUCACUAAACUGCGGGCAUUAGGAGCGUGUAGACCAUGUUUGUGUUCAUUUUAACUCAAUUGCUUAGCACAUAGCCUGGCUCACAAUGGAGUCUUCUUAUGAAUCCAAAUAAGGUUCUAAACCACCACAUACACGCUUGAAAUCAUGUAGUUUUGCUGCAUGUAUUUUAUUUUUUAUUUAAAAUUAAAGAAAAAAAAUGUUUUUUCAAGAGAGACAGCCCAAGCGGAGAAGAGGGGCAGAGAGACAGAGAGAGAGAAUCUUAAGCAGCCUGCAUGCUCAGCACAGAGCCCAACACAGGGAUCAAUCCCAUGACCCUGAGAUCAUGACCUGAAUCUAAAUCAAGAGUUGGAUGCUCAACCAACUGAGCCACUCAGGUGCCCCUUACUAUUAUUAUUAUUAUUUUGCAUGUAUUUUAAACAGUAGGUUUUAUGGGACUUAGUAAUGGUUUCUGUCAGUGAAUGGAAGCUUUUGGAAAAUCCUUGGAAGGCUUGAGUUUGUUACAGGUGGCCUAUGAUUCGUCAACGCUAUGACACUGAGAAGGUUGCUUAGCACCUCAUAGACUUUUUCCUGGUCAUUACCCAUAGGUGAGGAGCAAUUCUUUCACCCUGUAAAGAGGAAAACUUUCCCCCAACUAGUACUUGAAGUGAGGCACUCUGUGGGACUUACUUCUUUGUGUAUUGUUCAGUUAGGAGAGAAGACCUUUCCUACAUUUAGUAUUUUAAGCCCCAAACUUUAGCACGAAGAGAAGGAUUUCCUUCCAGCUGAUAUGAGUGGCGAGGGUUGGGGAAUAAGGAUUUGGGAGCUCAUGGGAACUCAGUAGGAUCACUUGAUCCAAUGGUUUUCAAACCACAUUCCCUGGGGUUGUAGAAUUCUUUUGUGGCCAGUAGGUGUGUGGAAAGGGAAAGCUGAGAGGCAGGAUGCCAGUCCAAUGCCCCCACCUCCCCUUCUACCAGAGCUGUUCCAUCACAGAUCGGGCCUAGCCAUAUUCUCAUUUCACAGAUGAGGAAACUGAGGCCCUAGGAGGGGUCAGAGUUUGUCCAAGAUCACAAAUUGAGAAGUGCCUGGCAAAGCCUAGACCCACAUCUGGUGUAGAAAAAAGCUGGGUCUGGUUGCAGAACCAGACAGUUUCUUUCAUUUCAACAGAAGACUAUGCAGCAGGCCAUUGUCCAAGAUACACAGGCCGUUUCCUGUCAAUCAUUUCCCAGGGACCAUGCUCAGCCUGUGAAACUGUGGGGGACCCCGGAAUCUGCCGCAGAGAAGGAUGUAUUUGUGGACUGGAAGUUUGGGGUCAGUUUCAUGGAGGGUUUUUGUCAUUUACUUCCUCAAACUGUGACUAGUGCGGAACAUAAUAAGGAGGAAGCUUCCUGAAGUUGUGGCAGGCCAAAGGCAUAGCUGUUGGUGGAUGAACGGGUAAGCAAAUGGUGGUCUGUCCACUCAGUGGAAUACUACACAACCACGAGAAGGCAAUCACGAUGUGGUGACAUGUGGCCACGUGGACGAAUCUCAAAUGCACUAUACUAGGGGUGCAGGAACAAGGUGCUGGAACAAGGAAGUUACACCAGGCAUUGACUUGUUUAAGAUUCCAUUUCUCGGAGAGCCAAAUUUGUAACUAAGUUAAUGCUCAGUUUGGUGACACAGGGCUUCGCAUAAGUGACUCCAUUUUGGGCCGGUUGUCG